AGAGAGAGAGAGAGAGAGAGAGAGAGAGAAUGCAGAGGAUUAAGAAUCAUCAGCUUGGGAGAGGAGCAGAAGGGGGCAGCUUUGGCGAGAAUAAAGCCACCAGCCCUUCCAUUGCCUCUUCCUGAAGCCUCAGGAUUGAGGUUGUAUCUUUCACGCAAAAGAAGGAUUCAUCUUCCGUCAUGCGAGUCCAUUGUUGGAUCCUCGAUUGCUCGCUUUGAGAUCUAUGCAGGCCGAUGAAUGGAGGAGUUCGAAGUGCUUUAAAAUCUGUGCCAUGGGUGAUCCAAUGGUGGAUGGGAGUGAAGGAAGGUAAAUCCGAGUGACCGAAACUGGGUUUAAUAUUCGGAUUUUUUUAUAAAAACUAAAUGAUACCUAGGAUUUGAACCAUCGUAGCAGGAAAAAACAAGUUCUAUAUCAUAUCACACAAAGAUCUUAGUUUCCCAUCACCACCUCUUCAAAACACACAGAGAGAAUGGGGAGGAUUCAGAACCACUGGCUUGGUAGAGGAGCAGAAGGAGGCAGCUUCUAUGAGAAUAAAGCCACCGGCCCUUCCACUGCCUCUUCCUGAAGCCUCAUACUUAGGCCCCGUUUGGCAGAGCUGUUGAAAGUAGAGCUUUCGAAAGUAGAGUUUUUUGAAAUAGAGGUUUUUAAAAAAGCUAUUUGUUGUUUGGUCAAAGCCGGCCCGAGGAACAGGCCCUUGCCCUGUUUUCUGUGUCUGGCCAUGACCAAAAGGAAGCAAAGGCCCCAUAUAAAACAGGAACAUGAGCUGGCUACGAGUCUUCCCCCUUGAUGGAAGGGAGGUGGAGAGUUUCUUGGCCUGCAGAGGGGAAAUUUGGGAAGUUGGGGACAGUAGUUUUGUUUUGAGUG
rnacentral:lncRNA from 1 species